rnacentral:rRNA from 1 species
AGAGUUUGAUCCUGGCUCAGGAUGAACGCUAGCUACAGGCUUAACACAUGCAAGUCGAGGGGCAGCAUCAUCAAAGCCUGCUUUGAUGGAUGGCGACCGGCGCACGGGUGAGUAACACGUAUCCAACCUGCCGACAACACUGGGAUAGCCUUUCGAAAGAAAGAUUAAUACCGGAUGGCAUAAUUUUCCCGCAUGGGAUAAUUAUUAAAGAAUUUCGGUUGUCGAUGGGGAUGCGUUCCAUUAGGCAGUUGGCGGGGUAACGGCCCACCAAACCUACGAUGGAUAGGGGUUCUGAGAGGAAGGUCCCCCACAUUGGAACUGAGACACGGUCCAAACUCCUACGGGAGGCAGCAGUGAGGAAUAUUGGUCAAUGGACGAGAGUCUGAACCAGCCAAGUAGCGUGAAGGAUGACUGCCCUAUGGGUUGUAAACUUCUUUUAUACGGGAAUAAAGUGAGCCACGUGUGGCUUUUUGUAUGUACCGUAUGAAUAAGGAUCGGCUAACUCCGUGCCAGCAGCCGCGGUAAUACGGAGGAUUCGAGCGUUAUCCGGAUUUAUUGGGUUUAAAGGGAGCGUAGGCGGGUUGUUAAGUCAGUUGUGAAAGUUUGCGGCUCAACCGUAAAAUUGCAGUUGAUACUGGCGACCUUGAGUGCAACAGAGGUAGGCGGAAUUCGUGGUGUAGCGGUGAAAUGCUUAGAUAUCACGAAGAACUCCGAUUGCGAAGGCAGCUUACUGGAUUGUAACUGACGCUGAUGCUCGAAAGUGUGGGUAUCAAACAGGAUUAGAUACCCUGGUAGUCCACACAGUAAACGAUGAAUACUCGCUGUUGGCGAUAUACGGUCAGCGGCCAAGCGAAAGCAUUAAGUAUUCCACCUGGGGAGUACGCCGGCAACGGUGAAACUCAAAGGAAUUGACGGGGGCCCGCACAAGCGGAGGAACAUGUGGUUUAAUUCGAUGAUACGCGAGGAACCUUACCCGGGCUUAAAUUACAUUUGAAUAAUCUGGAAACAGUUUAGCCGUAAGGCAAAUGUGAAGGUGCUGCAUGGUUGUCGUCAGCUCGUGCCGUGAGGUGUCGGCUUAAGUGCCAUAACGAGCGCAACCCUUAUCUUCAGUUACUAACAGGUCAUGCUGAGGACUCUGGAGAGACUGCCGUCGUAAGAUGUGAGGAAGGUGGGGAUGACGUCAAAUCAGCACGGCCCUUACGUCCGGGGCUACACACGUGUUACAAUGGGGGGUACAGAAGGCAGCUACCUGGUGACAGGAUGCUAAUCCCAAAAACCUCUCUCAGUUCGGAUCGAAGUCUGCAACCCGACUUCGUGAAGCUGGAUUCGCUAGUAAUCGCGCAUCAGCCAUGGCGCGGUGAAUACGUUCCCGGGCCUUGCACACACCGCCCGUCAAG